rnacentral:lncRNA from 1 species
CCUGCUGAUCCGGCGAGUCCUGCUCCUGUCCGUCGCCUACUCCGCAACUCUUGGCGCCGUCGGCUCGGUCUUUGGCAACCCGGCGUCUCGGGUCCUGCGCAUGGUGCUUGAAGAGCGGUACUCGUACGACCGGCUUACCAUGAUGUCAUGGCUCGUCAUCUGCCUGCCUAUCUCGGCCGCCGGCAUCCUGGCCUGCUGGAUGGUCGUGUUUGUGGUCUUCCUCAAGGAAUACGACUGCGAAGAGGACGACGAGACGAAGGAAAGCAUAGCGAAGAUCCUGGAAGAAAAAUACCACGCUCUCGGGAGAUUCAG